rnacentral:rRNA from 1 species
GACGAACGCUGGCGGCGUGCUUAACACAUGCAAGUCGAACGGUGAUCUUGGGAGCUUGCUCCUGGGUGAUCAGUGGCGAACGGGUGAGUAACACGUGAGUAACCUGCCCCUGACUCUGGAAUAACCCCGGGAAACCGGGGCUAAUACCGGAUAUGACAUCAUCCCGCAUGGGUGUGGUGUGGAAAGUUUUUUCGGUUGGGGAUGGGCUCGCGGCCUAUUAGCUGGUUGGUGAGGUAGUGGCUCACCAAGGCGGCGACGGGUAGCCGGCCUGGGAGGGCGACCGGCCACACGGGGACUGCGCAACGGAGCAGGCUCCUACGGGACGCAGCAGUGGGGAAUAUUGCACAAGGGGCGGAAGCCUGAUGCGGCGACGCCGCGUGGGGGAUGCAGGCCUUCGGGUUGUAAACCUCUUUCAGCUUUGAAGAAGCGGAAGUGACGGUAGGAGCAGAAGAAGCACCGGCUAACUACGUGCCAGCCGCCGCGGUAAUAC